CUAGGAAUAGCUCAAUGGUAGAGCAUUUGCCUUUCAUGCUCAAGGCUCCAGGUUCCAUCCCAGCGUCACCAGC
rnacentral:tRNA from 1 species